AAUGGGCGAAAGCCUGACGGAGCAACGCCGCGUGAGGGAUGAAGGCCUCUGGGCUGUAAACCUCUUUUAUCAAGGAAGAAGAUCUGACGGUACUUGAUGAAUAAGCCACGGCUAAUUCCGUGCCAGCAGCCGCGGUAAUACGGGAGUGGCAAGCGUUAUCCGGAAUUAUUGGGCGUAAAGCGUCCGCAGGCGGCCCUUCAAGUCUGCUGUUAAAAAGUGGAGCUUAACUCCAUCAUGGCAGUGGAAACUGUUGGGCUUGAGUGUGGUAGGGGCAGAGGGAAUUCCCGGUGUAGCGGUGAAAUGCGUAGAUAUCGGGAAGAACACCAGUGGCGAAGGCGCUCUGCUGGGCCAUCACUGACGCUCAUGGGCGAAAGCCAGGGGAGCGAAAGGGAUU
rnacentral:rRNA from 1 species